rnacentral:rRNA from 1 species
GGGUUGUGAGGUUAAGCGACUAAGCGUACACGGUGGAUGCCCUGGCAGUCAGAGGCGAUGAAGGACGUGCUAAUCUGCGAUAAGCGCCGGUAAGGUGAUAUGAACCGUUAUAACCGGCGAUUUCCGAAUGGGGAAACCCAGUGUGAUUCGUCACACUAUCAUUAACUGAAUCCAUAGGUUAAUGAGGCGAACCGGGGGAACUGAAACAUCUAAGUACCCCGAGGAAAAGAAAUCAACCGAGAUUCCCCCAGUAGCGGCGAGCGAACGGGGAGGAGCCCAGAGCCUGAAUCAGCAUGUGUGUUAGUGGAAGCGUCUGGAAAGGCGCGCGAUACAGGGUGACAGCCCCGUACACAAAAGCGCAUGUGCUGUGAGCUCGAUGAGUAGGGCGGGACACGUGGUAUCCUGUCUGAAUAUGGGGGGACCAUCCUCCAAGGCUAAAUACUCCUGACUGACCGAUAGUGAACCAGUACCGUGAGGGAAAGGCGAAAAGAACCCCGGCGAGGGGAGUGAAAAAGAACCUGAAACCGUGUACGUACAAGCAGUGGGAGCCCCACCACUAAGCCAGUGGUGAACUCCACAUCCGCAUCCUUUGCUGAGGAUACGGUUAACGGAGCG